UCUCUGGUAGCUCAGCUGAUAAAGAAUCUGCCUGCAAUGCAGGAGACCCUGGUUCAAUUCCUGGGUAGGGAA
rnacentral:tRNA from 1 species